GUGGGGAGUCUGAGUACCAACUAGUAGCAGGAUCUUUGGAGAAUACCACCAAAGAGGAUCUGGUCAAACACAAUGCUCGGUGGCACCUUACAUGCUAUAAGUGAACUGAAUUUGGCAAGGUUGGAGAGGAGGAAGUACAUCUCUCAUCAUGAAAAAGUUGAAGAUACUGGGCCAAGUGCCAGCUGUGGGUGAGACUCUCCUUACACUAGUUCUCAUGGCAUGUGUUUCAAGAAGAAGACAUGCUUCGUCGGCGGUAAGCCAGAAGGCAUCUGGUUUGUCAUGUUUGGAGCCAUUGUGUUUGUGGGAGAAAGGGCUCUAGAAUGAUACCCAACUUGACACAUUUCUGAUGACAUUGUAUUAUCACAACUUCCACCAGGCGGAGGACCUGCAGCUUUGGACUGGAGGAGAAGGGCAGUGAGUCCCCCUGCCUCGUUACAGAGGGCAGAGCAAAUAAUGUUGCUCCUGAAAGGGACACAGCACAAGCGGAGAAACCGGUUUCCCCAACAGCCAGGAUAUGUUUAUCACCCUGGACCUGGAGCCAGUAACCCCCGAACUCACCCAAGGCGCGCUCCCAGACCCUGAGGGCACA